UGGGGUUGUGGCUCAGAGGUAGAGCGCUCACCUGACAUGCGUGAGGUACUAGGUUCGAUCCUCAGCACCACAA
rnacentral:tRNA from 1 species